rnacentral:rRNA from 1 species
GACGUAGGGUGCAAGCGUUGUCCGGAUUUACUGGGCGUAAAGAGCGCGUAGGCGGUCUAUUAAGUGUGAAGUGAAAUCUCCAGGGCUCAACCCGGAAACUGCUUUGCAAACUGACAGACUGGAGGGAUGCAGAGGUAAGUGGAAUUCCUGGUGUAGCGGUGAAAUGCGUUGAUAUCAGGAGGAACACCCAUGGCGAAGGCAGCUUACUGGGCAUCUCCUGACGCUGAGGCGCGAAAGCGUGGGUAGCAAACAGG